rnacentral:rRNA from 1 species
GACGAACGCUGGCGGCGUGCCUAAUACAUGCAAGUCGAACGCAGUGGGGACGGGUGAGUAACACGUGGGUAACCUCCCAUCAGAGGGGAUAACACUUGGAAACCGGUGCUAAACCGAUAGUGAUGGAUGGACCCGCGGGGCAUUAGCGAGUUGGUGGGGUAACGGCGCACCAAGGCCACGAUGCAUAGCGGACCUGGUAGGGGGAUCGGCCACACUGGGACGGAGACACGGCCCAGACUCCUACGGGAGGCAGCAGUAGGGAAUCUUCGGCAAUGGACGAAAGUCUGACCGAGCAACGCCGCGUGAGUGAAGAAGGUUUUCGGAUCGUAAAACUCUGUUGUUAGAGAGGCGGUAUCUAACCAGAAAGCCACGGCUAACUACGUGCCAGCAGCCGCGGUAAUAC